AUAUAGAUCACACACGGUAAUAUAGUUAUGAUAAUGAAUGUAGCUGAGAUGGAUU
rnacentral:guide_RNA from 1 species